GAGAGAAAUAGGAAUAUAUGUUCUGGUUCAAAUUAGCCAAUAGUGUUCUGGUCCAUGCCUUCCUAAAUCACAAGUAGUCUUAAGCUGGAUCGUAGCAUGAGGUGCUCUUCAUAUACUUUAUAUAGUUGGAGCUUCCUCAGAGCAUGGAUUCGAAUCUCCGUGUAGUUUUUUACCAUCAGCCAUUUGAUGCGCAAUCCUGCAUGACUCUGUCCAUGGCUUGCUGGUGGUGACGGCUGCAGAGCACAAAAACACUUCCACUGAUUCGUUUCUUCAUCUGAGCUUGCAAGGAUUCCAUCCUGGGAAAGGAAUCCGACGGAAGAGAAGAAGCUGAGAUGAACAGCUCGGGUUGGUGUCCCCACACGGAGACCUUUCAGCUUUCGUUUUCCCUCCAUCGCCAUCCCUGGGCGUGAUCUGCAGAAGAAUACGUACCAUUGGGGACACACUGCACCCCGCACUCUGCUCUCCUGUCAGACUCCCCUUUAUUUUAAUUGCCUCACAUGCAUGUAGAUCUCUGCAAAGAUGUAGAUAAAUACAAGUCGGUAGUGUCGUAAACCCGAGCAGUACACAUGCAGAGCAUGAGAGCUUGGAAAAAUGGCAUGAACAGAGAGGAAGAUGCCAUGGAAACCAAGGUAUAAUUAAGAGUCGGAAGUAAAAGCCGGGGAGGGUGAAAGAGAGGGAGCCGCGUGUUGAGUUGGAUCCGACCCAUCAAAAGACGCUGCGAACAGCUGUUGUCAGGCACCGACGGAAUAAAGAAGGGCAGAAAGAGACA
rnacentral:lncRNA from 1 species